rnacentral:ncRNA from 1 species
UAGUAGUAGUAGUAGUAGUAGUAGUACUAGUACUAGUACUAGUACUAGUACUAGUAUCAGUACUAGUACUAGCACGAGUACGAGUACAAGUACGAGUACGAGUACGAGUACGAGUACGAGUGCGAGUACGAGUACGAGUACAAGUACUGGUACUAGUACUAGUA